UACGGAGGGUGCAAGCGUUAUCCGGAUUCACUGGGUUUAAAGGGUGCGUAGGCGGGUUGGUAAGUCCGUGGUGAAAUCUCCGAGCUUAACUCGGAAACUGCCGUGGAUACUAUCAAUCUUGAAUAUCGUGGAGGUAAGCGGAAUAUGUCAUGUAGCGGUGAAAUGCUUAGAUAUGACAUAGAACACCAAUUGCGAAGGCAGCUUACUACACAGUUAUUGACACUGAGGCACGAAAGCGUGGGGAUCAAACAGG
rnacentral:rRNA from 1 species